GUUCCAAAUCUCGAGGAACCCCGGAAGAGCUUCUACGUACAGGUCCUGAGAGGCAGUGCUGGGCUCCCACAAGUCAGGCUGAUGUCAGGUCAGGCUCAUUCUACUGAAAACCUGCUUGAGUUCUUGAGAAGUUCAUGUGCAGGGAUUUGGGAACUGUUCCGUGCAUGAGUUCCAGGAUCUACCUGCAUCGUUUUACUGAGGUAACAACAUCUUCUCUCUUGUCCUUUGCCUAUGGCAAACCAAAGCCAAAAACAGAAAAUACCUCCACAGCUGCUUUCUUUCCUGCUGCCUUUUGCAGUGCUUCCAAGUCUUGAAGGCAAAAGAACCUGCUGGAAUGAAGAGAUGAUACUCCUCCUUUCCUGCUAGAUGUAAUGUAUGAAAGCCAAUCUAAGAGUAUGAGUAGAAAAAGAA
rnacentral:lncRNA from 1 species